AUCCAGCUGAAGAGUCCGGAAUAGGACGAAACGCGCCUCUUGGAU
rfam:Schistosoma rodhaini strain Burundi genome assembly, scaffold: SROB_scaffold0008511